rnacentral:lncRNA from 10 species
GAUGUGGAGGCGGGAGGAAGGAAAAACUUCAUAAAAACACGACGGCAGAAAUGUGGUAUUUUAAGCAAGACGUUUGCCCUUCAUAUGAAUGAUUCUUGGAUUUUUGGUGUAUAUUUUUGGUAGCAGUAUGCGGUGACCUUGGAAUUUCAUCCACUGAAGAGCCAGAGUCUAUUUUCCUUUCCUUUGAAUCUGGGCUGGCCCUGUAACUUGUUUUGGGCAAUAGAAUGUGGUGGAAGUGAUGGUGGGCCAGUUCCAGGUCCAGGUCUCAAAAGGCCUUGAGUGUUUUCACUUACUUCUGUGUUUGCCACGAGAACAUAUCCAGGUUAUCCUGUUGGAAGAUGGGACAUGAGGAGCAGAGUUGAGUCAUUCUAGUCAUUGCAGCUGAGGUUAUCCUAGAUUAGCUGAGCUGCAGAUGACUGUAAGAUCCAUGAGUGAGUCCAGUUGAAAUCAGAAGCACUGUCCAUCUGAGCCCAGCCUAAAUUGCCAACCCACAGACUUGUGAACACAAUAAAUGGUUAUUGUUUAA